rnacentral:lncRNA from 1 species
AGGUGGAUAAACAUUACUCAAGGAAUUUUUCCUGGGGACUAAACAGAGCAUUGGGAUGUUUGAGGCUUGGACAAUGGGCUGGAGGUAACCUGGUAUCUCUCUCUACAGAUGAAGCCAUCAGUAGAAUCGUUGCUCUGCUCCGGAGUGCAGGAGAUGAGCUGGACAGGCAGGUGAGGGAGGACGCACGGCUGCAGCAGUUCUUCAGGGACAUGUCCUACAGCUCCUUCAAGAACCUGGCUGAUGCCUAUGUCCAGAGGGAGCUGACAGCCAGCAGGCCCAACAUCAACCCCCAGGAGAUCCAGUUUGCCUACACGGUCCAUCUCACCGCCACGGUGGCAGGGAUCUGCAGCCAGGCAGUGAACAGGAUCAUGGGCUUCGGCACCCGCUACCUGGACGAUUCCUUUGCACCCUACGGCAAAAUUCUCCAGGAGAGAGAAAAGCUGAGGAUAGACCACUGUGACAGCCCGGACUGACAGCGGCUGCUGCAAGGGGCCCGUGGUGCCUGGGAACCCAAGGAUGAACAUUUAGUGCUGGGAGGGCAAUCCCUGUUGGUGACCUGGAUGUGGGGUGAAUUUCUGAGCUCGGAUUUAAAAUCUUUUCAGGAGAAUCAGCAGUGUGAAAUACUUGAACCCCACCUGGCUGGGGGCAAAAAGUCAGAAAAUCAAACAGAGCCCAAAUUUCACCCUGUAUUUGUAUUUUAGCUCCUGCCAAGUGCUUGUGUUGAACCUCAGGGGUUGUUGCUGUUUGUGCACAUAUAUUUAUUUACUUGCUUUUCUAAAUGUAUUUGUGAAUGUACAACAUAAUUUUUGUAGUUUCUGCUACCAGCCAAGAAACCAG